rnacentral:rRNA from 1 species
GAUGAACGCUGGCGGCGUGCUUAACACAUGCUAGUCGAACGGUGAAGGCGGAGCUUGCUCUGCUGGAUCAGUGGCGAACGGGUGAGUAACACGUGAGCAAUCUGCCCCUGACUCUGGGAUAAGCGCUGGAAACGGCGUCUAAUACUGGAUACGAGCUGCGAAGGCAUCUUCAGCAGCUGGAAAGAAUUUCGGUCAGGGAUGAGCUCGCGGCCUAUCAGCUUGUUGGUGAGGUAAUGGCUCACCAAGGCGUCGACGGGUAGCCGGCCUGAGAGGGUGACCGGCCACACUGGGACUGAGACACGGCCCAGACUCCUACGGGAGGCAGCAGUGGGGAAUAUUGCACAAUGGGCGAAAGCCUGAUGCAGCAACGCCGCGUGAGGGACGACGGCCUUCGGGUUGUAAACCUCUUUUAGCAGGGAAGAAGCGAAAGUGACGGUACCUGCAGAAAAAGCGCCGGCUAACUACGUG